rnacentral:rRNA from 1 species
CCUACGGGAGGCAGCAGUGAGGAAUUUUCCGCAAUGGGCGAAAGCCUGACGGAGCAAUGCCACGUGGAGGAGGAAGGCCUGUGGGUCGUAAACUCCUUUUCUCAGAGAAGAAGUUCUGACGGUAUCUGAGGAAUAAGCAUCGGCUAACUCUGUGCCAGCAGCCGCGGUAAUACAGGGGAUGCAAGCGUUAUCCGGAAUUAUUGGGCGUAAAGCGUCCUGAGGUGGCUUACCCAGUCGACUGUGAAAGCUCAAGGCUUAACCUUGAAACGGCAGUCGAAACUUGUAAGCUUGAGUACGGUAGGGGCAGAGGGAAUUCCCGGAGGAGAGGUGAAAUUCGUAGAUAUCGGGAGGAAGGCCAAAGGCGAAAGCACUCUGCUGGGCCGAUUACUGACACUGACAGACGAAAGCUAGGGGAGCGAAAGGGAUUAGAUACCCCUGUAGUCCUAGCCGUAAACGAUGGAUACUAAGUGUUGCGCGACUCAAACGUGCAGUGCUGCAGCUAACGCGGUAAGUAUCCCGCCUGGGGAGUAUGCCCGCAAGGGUGAAACUCAAAGGAAUUGACGGCUGAGCGNGCGAGACGACGACGAGGAGAGG